CCCUGCCCUUUGUACACACCGCCCGUCGCUACUACCGAUUGAGUGUUUUAGUGAGGCCUCGGGACUGGCUGUAGAGGGUUGAAUAAACCUCCUGCAGCCGGGAACUUGGUCAAACUUGAAUACUUAGA
rnacentral:rRNA from 1 species